GAUCCUGGCUCAGGAUGAACGCUAGCUACAGGCUUAACACAUGCAAGUCGAGGGGCAGCAUGAACUUAGCUUGCUAAGUUUGAUGGCGACCGGCGCACGGGUGAGUAACACGUAUCUAACCUUCCGUUUACUCAGGGAUAGCCUUUCGAAAGAAAGAUUAAUACCUGAUAGUAUGGUGAGAUUGCAUGAUAACACCAUUAAAGAUUUAUUGGUAAACGAUGGGGAUGCGUUCUACUUAGGUAGG
rnacentral:rRNA from 1 species